CCCCGGUGUUAUGGAGAUCUGGGACAUCAGCCAGAAAAAGCACAACCACGAACUCACACAGACACAGCACAAAUGUAACAGUUCUCUAGAUUCAAGUGGCUCUGCAGCUCAGGGGGGAAGGAGCAGAGGGAGAGGGAGAGAAAGAAUCUUAAGCAGGCUCCAUGCCCAACUCAGAGCCCGACCUGGGGCUUAAUCUCAUGACCCUGAAAUCAUGACCUGAGCUGAAAUCAAGACUUGGACACUUGACUGACUGAGCUACCCAGGACCUCAAGUACAAUGCUGGAAAGAAGAAUUGAUGCAGA